CGGGUGAGUAACACGUAUGGAACCUGCCCUAUGCAGGGGGAUAAGCGGAAGAAAUUCCGUCUAAUACCGCAUAACACCAUCUGGAGACAUCUCCAGGUGGUCAAAGGAGGCGGACACCGGCAUAGGAUGGCCAUGCGUCGCAUUAGCUAGUCGGCGGGGUAACGGCCCACCGAGGCGACGAUGCGUAGGGGUUCUGAGAGGAAGGUCCCCCACACUGGUACUGAGACACGGACCAGACUCCUACGGGAGGCAGCAG
rnacentral:rRNA from 1 species